UACGUAGGGUGCAAGCGUUGUCCGGAAUUAUUGGGCGUAAAGAGCUCGUAGGCGGUUCGUCGCGUCGGCUGUGAAAUCCCCGAGGCUCAACCUCGGGUCUGCAGUCGAUACGGGCGGACUGGAGUUCGGCAGGGGAGACUGGAAUUCCUGGUGUAGCGGUGAAAUGCGCAGAUAUCAGGAGGAACACCGGUGGCGAAGGCGGUUCUCUGGGCAUUACCUGACGCUGAGGAGCGAAAGUGUGGGGAGCGAACAGG
rnacentral:rRNA from 1 species